rnacentral:lncRNA from 1 species
AUAUUCCUCCUGAGAGAGUCCGUGUCUUGCAGCUCUUCCAGGGUGACCUGGUAAAGAGACCACCUUUUCAUUUUGAGUCCCAUCACCAACUAUGCCAAUGUCCAACCUACCACACAGCUCACAAUGACUCAGAGGUACAUUUUAGUAUCUGAACAGCAAAGACAUAUUGAGCUGCAAGUACAAUGAGGAGAUCUGCUAUGCCAUAUCAAGACCUUGCUCAUCUGGUGAUGAGACGGGGCUGUUUGCCUUGGAAGACUAAAGAAAGGGUGAAUAUUCACAUGAGGAGAAGAUAAUCGUGGAAGAAUUAAAUGGAAGAAUUCAUAGAAGAAUACAGCCAUGGAUAAACUUAAUCAAAAGAAUAUGAUUAUGGGAUUCAGCUAAACCUCCAUCCGUGGACUGGUGUUCCCCAUAGGCUUAAAAGCUGCAAUGCAUGUUGUGAUUGGAACACGGGGCCUCUCACCCUCAGUGAUGUCACGUGCAAAGGGCAGCACUGGAUUUACAGAUGACAGAAGACCUACGUUCCAGGCCUAGCUCUGCCAAUUCCUGUGUGACCGUGGAUAAGUAACUCAACAUCUCUUGAGCCUCACUUCACUUACUAUCUGUAAAAUGAGACCAAUCACCUUCUUGCAGAGUUGUUAGGAGAGUCAGAUGAAACAAUAAUGUCUGUGAAAGAAACUCUAAAAACUAUAAAGCACAGCAUUUUUUUCCCUCCUAAUAGUUUUGGCUCUGUU